CAACAGACGUUUAUUUUCUCACAGUUCUGGAGGCUGAAGUCCAAGAUCAAACUGCUGGCAGGGUUGGUUUCUGGUGCAGACUCUCUCCUUGGCUUGUAGACAUCACCUUCUCCCUGUGUGCUCCUGUGGCCUCUU
rnacentral:miRNA from 1 species